CAAUUAGUAUCUUAAAUAUAAAGAAUAGACUUUUUAAGUCUGAGAUAGUAUAAUUACUCUAAUUGA
rnacentral:tRNA from 1 species